rnacentral:rRNA from 1 species
UACGGAGGGUGCAAGCGUUGUUCGGAUUUACUGGGCGUAAAGCGCGCGCAGGCGGAUUAUCAAGUCAGAUGUGAAAUCUCGGGGCUCAACCUCGAAACUGCGUCUGAAACUGAUAGUCUAGAGUUCGAGAGAGGUGAGUGGAAUUCCAAGUGUAGAGGUGAAAUUCGUAGAUAUUUGGAGGAACACCAGUGGCGAAGGCGACUUUCUGGACUGUAACUGACACUGAGGCACGAAAGCGUGGGGAGCGAACAGG